rnacentral:rRNA from 1 species
ACAUGCAAGUCGAGCGGACCGACGGGAGCUUGCUCCCUUAGGUCAGCGGCGGACGGGUGAGUAACACGUGGGUAACCUGCCUGUAAGACUGGGAUAACUCCGGGAAACCGGGGCUAAUACCGGAUGCUUGAUUGAACCGCAUGGUUCCAAUCAUAAAAGGUGGCUUUUAGCUACCACUUACAGAUGGACCCGCGGCGCAUUAGCUAGUUGGUGAGGUAACGGCUCACCAAGGCGACGAUGCGUAGCCGACCUGAGAGGGUGAUCGGCCACACUGGGACUGAGACACGGCCCAGACUCCUACGGGAGGCAGCAGUAGGGAAUCUUCCGCAAUGGACGAAAGUCUGACGGAGCAACGCCGCGUGAGUGAUGAAGGUUUUCGGAUCGUAAAACUCUGUUGUUAGGGAAGAACAAGUACCGUUCGAAUAGGGCGGCACCUUGACGGUACCUAACCAGAAAGCCACGGCUAACUACGUGCCAGCAGCCGCGGUAAUACGUAGGUGGCAAGCGUUGUCCGGAAUUAUUGGGCGUAAAGCGCGCGCAGGCGGUUUCUUAAGUCUGAUGUGAAAGCCCCCGGCUCAACCGGGGAGGGUCAUUGGAAACUGGGGAACUUGAGUGCAGAAGAGGAGAGUGGAAUUCCACGUGUAGCGGUGAAAUGCGUAGAGAUGUGGAGGAACACCAGUGGCGAAGGCGACUCUCUGGUCUGUAA